UACGGGGGGAGCAAGCGUUGUUCGGAUUUACUGGGCGUAAAGGGCGCGUAGGCGGCCACGACAAGUCAGUUGUGAAAUCUCUGGGCUUAACUCAGAGCGGUCAACUGAUACUGUCGGGCUAGAGUGCAGAAGGGGCAACUGGAAUUCUCGGUGUAGCGGUGAAAUGCGUAGAUAUCGAGAGGAACACCUGCGGCGAAGGCGGGUUGCUGGGCUGACACUGACGCUGAGGCGCGAAAGCUAGGGGAGCAAACGGG
rnacentral:rRNA from 1 species